rnacentral:lncRNA from 1 species
ACUGAGACAAUCUUUUGGCAAAACAGAGGAUGUUUUCAUUUUUUCCUUUUUUGUACUGAUGACUGUGUGUAGGUGCUUGCUGCCAAAGGGAGAAUUGUGGGCUGUCCCCUCCUGAUUUAGCAAUGCCAGAGGUAGUCAACCUUCUGAGAAGAACUUAUACACAUCUACUGUGAAGUUGGUAGUGGCUCUGUGAUUCUCUUAUUUUGAAAAUUCACUGCCGGUGGUUGGACUGAGUCCCAUGAAGCCAGAUCACUUCUGACUGCAAGGAGCUUGGAAAAGCAAGUAUCUGGAUCUUUUACCAGCUAAAUUUGGAGCGAUGAGGCUUCCUCUUUGAAGAUCACAGGUGAGAAGAUUAGGUGCUUUCUCAGAAGCCCAGCAACCUGAUGGGAGUGUGGAGUGAGCAAGACCCAAAUCGGAGCUUCAUCCCUGCAUGGUUCAUUUUGCUUAUUUGGCAAACUUGCCCUGCAGAAUCUACUCAAGCUUCCUCAGUUUCUCAAAUCAUUCUUGGGCAACAAAUGAACAAGAAAGAGGACGUCUUAUUAUCUGGUGUCUGGCUUGCUGAUUUAAUAACCUAGGAGACAGU